UACGGAGGGGGCAAGCGUUGUUCGGAAUUACUGGGCGUAAAGGGCGCGCAGGCGGCUGCUCAAGUCAGGCGUGAAAGGCCUGGGCUCAACCCGGGAAUUGCGCUUGAGACUGGGCUGGCUUGAGUGCGAGAGAGGAUGGUGGAAUUCUCAGUGUAGAGGUGAAAUUCGUAGAUAUUGGGAAGAACACCGGUGGCGAAGGCGGCCAUCUGGACCGCAACUGACGCUGAGGCGCGAAAAGCGUG
rnacentral:rRNA from 1 species